UACGGGGGGGGCAAGCGUUGUUCGGAAUUACUGGGCGUAAAGGGUUCGUAGGUGGCCAACUAAGUCGGACGUGAAAUCCCUCAGCUUAACUGGGGAACUGCGUCUGAUACUGGUUGGCUUGAGUGCAGGAGAGGAACGCGGAAUUCCAGGUGUAGCGGUGAAAUGCGUAGAUAUCUGGAGGAACACCGGUGGCGAAGGCGGCGUUCUGGACUGUAACUGACACUGAGGAACGAAAGCCAGGGGAGCAAACGGG
rnacentral:rRNA from 1 species